rnacentral:rRNA from 1 species
GGGGGAGACUACCUGCAGUCGAACGGUAACAGGAAGCAGCUUGCUGCUUUGCUGACGAGUGGCGGACGGGUGAGUAAUGUCUGGGAAACUGCCUGAUGGAGGGGGAUAACUACUGGAAACGGUAGCUAAUACCGCAUAACGUCGCAAGACCAAAGAGGGGGACCUUCGGGCCUCUUGCCAUCGGAUGUGCCCAGAUGGGAUUAGCUAGUAGGUGGGGUAACGGCUCACCUAGGCGACGAUCCCUAGCUGGUCUGAGAGGAUGACCAGCCACACUGGAACUGAGACACGGUCCAGACUCCUACGGGAGGCAGCAGUGGGGAAUAUUGCACAAUGGGCGCAAGCCUGAUGCAGCCAUGCCGCGUGUAUGAAGAAGGCCUUCGGGUUGUAAAGUACUUUCAGCGGGGAGGAAGGGAGUAAAGUUAAUACCUUUGCUCAUUGACGUUACCCGCAGAAGAAGCACCGGCUAACUCCGUGCCAGCAGCCGCGGUAAUACGGAGGGUGCAAGCGUUAAUCGGAAUUACUGGGCGUAAAGCGCACGCAGGCGGUUUGUUAAGUCAGAUGUGAAAUCCCCGGGCUCAACCUGGGAACUGCAUCUGAUAC